GUUUUGAUGAAAUUAGCACUUCCUGUAGAAUGACAGAAUCGCAGAAGUUCUGGGUUCCAUUCCAUGCAUGUCAUCAGAAUGAAGCGUAAUUUUGGUUUGUUUGCGUAAGAAAUGCAACAUGUCUACUUUUUUGUUCUGAUUCCAACAAAGCAAACAGAACCUGGAGAAAUCGGAACUUGCAGUGGAGUGAGGACUGUGCGUUUUCCUGACCCUAUUUCUCACAUAACUGACUGAGUUUUGAUUUGAUGAAAACCUAACGAAUGCUCCCCUUGGUUUCUGUGGGUUUUGCAGCCAGCAAGGCGAACGCUGCACCCGCUUCGAUGUCCCUUUUAACACAAAUGCAACUGCUUCUGAAGCAAGCCCCACAUGUGAGCUGCUCUGCAAGACAGAGGAGGAGCACCAGGCCUGAAGAGUCUGCGGGGACUUUCCUACUGUUGCAAGCGUUCCCGAGGUGGUCACAUGUGCCGUUCAAAGCCAGCUCUUGUCACCGGCGGCGAUGCUGCGAGGAGCCCUUCGGGCACCUGGGCGCUGCAAGGGUGGCGAUCAGCACCCGUGACUCAGUCGGUGGCUGAAGUCUCUGUUAGGCAACCUCUGAAGUGGCUGUCACUGCCAUUUCCCUCCAUGCAAGGAUUAAGAGGAUGAGAAAAUUUGACAGAAAGCGAGCGGUGCUUAUCUGGAUGUGGAAUAACAGUGCUCCUUAUAAACACUGAGGUGUGCACAAAAAGCUUAAUAACAAUGCAUUAAUGGAAUGCAGGUUGCUUGGAGAGAGCUUUUAAUGUCUGAAAGGUCACUGCUAUCAAAAAUAUUGAUCUGUCUGCCAGUCACUCGGAAGAUAUUCCAAGUGCAAUUGUAAAUAUAUUAUAUUGAGAUAGCAUCUGGUAUUUCCAAACACGGGUGCAAGGGCGCAGAGUAAGUGCUUUGCAGGGUGUCUGUGAGGAUACAGUGGCUGUGUCUACUGGAUGCUGGAGUUCAAAACUUCUGCAGUGCUAUUCCACCUGGAAGAGACUCGCUCCUGGCUUUACUGGCGAGGUAACUGCUCCAGCAAGAGUAAUUUCACACCGCAAAAUCCUCAAGGUGACCUGUUCUACCAGGUGAUGGUCUUUCAUCCAGGUCUUUCAUUAAGACUCUGCUAUGCUGAUAGUAUUGACACUGAAAUACUAGUCAUUAAUUACAAAUAUUAUGCUACUGCCCUUUGUAGAAGCACGAAAGCAGCUGAGAGUUGAUGCUGAUUUGUAGGCUUGAUUCUGCGCUUGCUAAAACCAGUCAGAAUCAGUAAAUAACUCCACUGGCACUACUGGCACUGGGCAAAGAAAACCAGCGCCUGUGGCACCGUGGGCAAGCACUGUGUGUUUUCUUAUUGCUGUACACUGCCAUCCCAGCUAGCCUUCAGCUUACCUCAUGUCUAUCAAUCUACCAGGAAAACAGUCCAAAAUUGGAAGAUUACAAAACAGCUUGUGCCAGAUAACUAAAUUUUUCACUUCCCAGCCUGUCACAAACUGUCCGAGUUUAUUUCUGAUAUGUAUUCCCUCCGCUGUCCCAAACACGAUACAUUAAAGUUGAUGAUUCUGCUGCCUGCACGCAUCACUCAUUCUAAGUUGCAUUAGUUCAGCUCCAAUGUAUUUAAGGACUUAGCAUUAAUUAAAUACGGUUUGUACAGAUUUGUAAAUGUGAAGUGCCAUCUAAAGACUGAGUGUUAAUAAUUGUCAGGCCCUUGUGAAAAUUACUGGAGCACAUCCAUAUUUCCCCCAUCGGCCAGCCUUGAGAAGAAUGCAAAUUCUGCAUCACGAUUUAUCCAGUGGGAGAUGGAGGUGGAUCCUCUGGAGUGAUUUGGGUCCGACACCUGAGUUAGGAGCGAGCUGCAUGCUGCAUUCAGUGGUGCUGAGCACUGCAUAAUCCCCAGCCUCCCCUUCCCGUGCUUCUGCAAGUAACAGGUUGGUGCAUGUAUCACAUCUCACUCUGCACUGCUGUUGCAUCCGCUUGCCAGGCCAAAGGAAACAAAGACUAAGAAGACUGUGAGGCAGAGUGACCCUCCAGGAAGUAGUAGUGGUGGAGAGGAGAGCAAACCAAGAGCUUACUGUUAGACUUUUUCCACACUUAAGGCUCCAGAGGGGGGCCCCAGAGACGGUUGGCUGAGAUGCACAGACCAUAGGCUCCAAUGAUAUUUGGAGGGGAGCAUAACAUUGCAUUUUGGAGCCCUGAGGAUUUCUGUGGAGGCCUUGUCUCAGGGGAUGUUGCUGCAUUGUUUGACAAGUCUGUGUUUCCAGGCAAGCUGAAAUUGUUCUGCAUGGCUCCACAAGUGACCGACUAUCGCAGAAGGUAUGUGUAGCUUGUAUUUUCCUUCCAAACAAUGCAGAACUUAGAAAAAUUCUUAGCUCUUGGAUGUAUGUUGAGAAGAAUACUUCAGUUAGGGAACUCUUAAUCUCACUGUGCCCUGGCAGAAUAGGCCUCGCGUACGCUACUUUUCCUGACUGCAUUGUUGGGUGGGAUAGGAAACACGUUCAGCAGACUGGCUGUAGGAGGACUCUUCCACAUAGAAGGCCUCGACAGAAGGUAAGUUUGCAAAGGAAUAACCAGCAGCAAAAACUAGGAAAUACAAUGUUGUCAUUAGAACUGGAAGUGAUGUUUAUUUCCCUUCUCUAUUUUUUUUUUUUAAUUUCUUCCUCUCCCAUCACAUGUAGAUGAUUUGUUCUGACAGUGGAUGAGAAAGUGUUGAAGUUUUCUCUCAAGUUGAGGAGAGUUUUGGUGCAUCUUUGCUUCUAUCCUCAGUAUCAAAUUCUCCCCUGGACUGGUGUGCUGAUGUCUAAUGACCAUCAAAGGUGUACCCCUGCAAAUAUACACAGUGGGCUGCUAGAUACAGUCAUCCAUUAGUAAGUAGAAAUAAUGAAUAGUAGAUAGCAAAGUAAUAAAUAGUAAAUUAAUGCCGCUUAAAGGACA
ensembl:lncRNA